rnacentral:rRNA from 1 species
UGUCUUUAUGGCAAAUGUGAGAUGCAGUGUAUGGAAUGUCAAAUUUCUAGUAUGAGAAAUUAACGAUUUAAGUCCUUCUUAAAUGAGGCCAUUUACCCAAAGAGGGUGCCAGGCCCGUAUAACGUUAAUGAUUACUAGAUGACAUUUCCAAAGAGUCGUGUUGCUUGAUAGUGCAGCACUAAGUGGGUGGUAAACUCCAUCUAAAACUAAAUAUAACCAUGAGACCGAUAGUAAACAAGUACCGUGAGGGAAAGUUGAAAAGAACUCUGAAUAGAGAGUUAAAUAGUACGUGAAACUGCUUAGAGGUUAAGCCCGAUGAACCUGAAUAUCCAUUAUGGAAAAUUCAUCAUUAUGAUUUUAAUAUUUAUAAUAUUAUAAUAAUGGUGUGCAUUUUUUCCAUAUAAGGACAUUGUAAUCUAUUAACAAAUACAUUUAUUAUAAGAUCAAUUGCUUUAGUUUAUUCAAAUUACUUUUGCUUGCAAAUUUAACAUAGAAUAAAUGCUUUUGAUUUGAUAAAGUGUUGAUAGAUUUAUUAUAUAUAGUGCUUGAAUAUAUUUUAUAUAUUCUAUAAUAGCGUAUUGAUCAAUGAUUUUUAUGUUCAUUAUAUGCACUUAUAUGAUUAACAAUGCGAAAGAUUCAGGAUACCUUCGGGACCCGUCUUGAAACACGGACCAAGGAGUCUAACAUAUUUGCAAGUUAUUGGGAAUUAUAAACCUAAUAGCGAAAUUAACAUAACUUAUAUAAUGGGAUUAGUUUUUAGGUCUAUAUUUUAUAUAGUCUAUGAAUUCAAUCCCGGGGCGUUCUAUACAGUUAUGUAUAAUAAUAUUUAUAUUAUUUAUACCUCUAACUAGAGCGUACCUUGAGCAUAUAUGCUGUGACCCGAAAGAUGGUGAACUAUACUUGAUCAGGUUGAAGUCAGGGGAAACCCUGAUGGAAGACCGAAACAGUUCUGACGUGCAAAUCGAUUGUCAGAAUUGAGU